CCUACGGGUGGCAGCAGUGGGGAAUAUUGCACAAUGGGGGGAACCCUGAUGCAGCAACGCCGCGUGGGUGAAGAAGUACUUCGGUAUGUAAAACCCUGUCAGCAGGGAAGAAAAUGACGAUACCUGACCAAGAAGCCCCAGCUAACUACGUGCCAGCAGCCGCAGUAAUACGGAGGUGGCAAGCGUUAUCCGGAUUUACAGGGGGUAAAGGGAGCGUAGACGGCAAGGCAAGUGUGGAGUGAAAGCCCGUGGCUCAACCACGGGACGGCGUUGGAAACUGUGUUGCUGGAGUGCAGGAGGGGGAAGCGGAAUUCCUAGUGUAGCGGUGAAAUGCGUAGAUAUUAGGAGGAACACCGGUGGCGAAGGCGGCUUACUGGACUGUAACUGACGUUGAGGCUCGAAGGCGUGGGGAGCAAACAGGAUUAGAUACCCCGGUAGUC
rnacentral:rRNA from 1 species